rnacentral:lncRNA from 1 species
AAAAAAACAAAACCAACAACAAAAAAAUCAGCCAGCAUAUAGAAAUACAUUUAUAUUAUUCUUAGGCAUCUUUCCUGUGGGUUGCAAAAAUUUGGUUUUGUUUUCUCUACGUGCCUCGGCACUUCUCGUUCCAUCUGGAAGUGGAGAUCAAAGCGCUGCAGUCCCACAAGCAAGCGAGCAAGCAUUUGUCUCUUGAGCUGCACAAGGAAGCACUGGAAGGCUGACAAAGGAUCGUGCUGCUGCAGGGCAGGGGCCAGAGCGCCGCAGAGAUGCGUCGCUCCAGAUUGCUUCAAGGGGCACCGGAUCACGUUUUGGAGCACAAUGUUUAGGGACAGUGUGGGUGUGUGUGACAGAGCACAAGGUAGCAAUAUUUAAGAACCUCUGGUCUCCAGAAAUCUCAUCUAAAGUAGCUCACAAAAAGCUAUUGGAGAAGUUGAAUCUGAAACUGAGCUUUAACAAAGUGAAUAAGACUAUCCCUGUGUGCUGACCAAAAUCCAUCAAGGGAAAAAGAAGGUGCCAAAGCCACAGCUAAUAUUCAAGUCAACAGUCCAACAUUUUGCUGAAUCUGUAAGCAGCAGGUAAACAAGAAACAAUUAUCUAUUGUCACCAUCAAAAGAAGUAAACCAUUAGGUAAGGCUGUCUACUGAAUAUACCUAGCAGUGGAAUGAGAGCACUGAAGAAAGAUUGGCUGCCUAAGAAAGAAAGCAAACCUCAUGGCAUGCUGGGUUGCGACCAAUUUAUUGAAACAACACACUCCAUUAGUAGAGUUGAUUAAAAAACCCAAUACUUAGGACUAAAUACUUCUUGUUGUACAAUGCCUUUGAGUACUUUUAAUAGCUUUUUCUCUCAUAUUAGGCUAAUUAACUAAGCACACUUCAUCUGUCAGGGGUUAAUUUCCUUCCUGUUUUCUGACUUUGCAAAUGGUUCAGGAGGAUCUAAC